GAGCCUCUCAGCAUCGCAGCUGCCAGCCUAGAGGAGCACUGCUUUGCUAAUGCAGAUGUAACAAAUCCCACCAAACAAAACUCCCUGAACAGACGCCUUCACAAGUCAGGGCUCCGAGCUCUGCCUUUUGUUAUCACUUUGGCUACUUCCCUUGAGACUGUGUCCUUGGUCCUUUUCUUUUCUUUUCUUCUGUUUUUUUUCUUUUCUUUUAUUUUCCCUCCCUCCCUCCCCCACCUCUGUCUUUCUUUUUUUCUUUCUCUCCUUCCUUCCUUCCCUCCUUCCUUCCUUCCU
rnacentral:lncRNA from 1 species